GGGAGGAAACAAGGCCCAAAGUCCCUGUAACCAAUUGUGCCGUAGUGGUGGUGUUAAAAUAAGAAUUCCCGAGUAUUCAGCUAAGAAUAUUGUAAUAGGCGUAAGAUCUUCUCAAACCGAGAACAGGCAAAUAUUCGCUGAAAAUGACAACAAGCAGAGCUCAAACGCAGAUCCAAGACGACGAGAUAAUACUAAUACCUACGGUACACAUUACUCAAGCAGGAACAGAAUAUAAAAAUAU